rnacentral:rRNA from 1 species
AUGUACAGACAAGGAGGCGAGGGUGGCGUACGUGAUGAAGCAGCGUCGGAUGCAAGAGACGCAAGGGAGGUUGCUGCUUUCUUCACGUCCAUUCAUUCCAACGACGGCCAUGAGAAGCCGCGGCCUUUGCCUCUAGAUCCACUGCCGCAUCUUGCAUCCCAAGACGCAAUGUUGCAAGAGGCGACGGUGGAGCAUCCGUUGGAUCCCUCGACCCUUGGGAUGCUACGGCCGUCGGCGACCUUGCCUCCUGCAAACCAGGACGCAAAGGGCUCCGAGUUUGCCUCCGUCAACGAUGCAGUCCUCGUGCUAUCAGACGAUGACAAUUAG